AUAGAUACCUCGGUAGUCCACGCCCUAAACGAUGCGCACUAGAUCGAGGCGGCUCUGACGUCGUCUCAGUCGCAGAGAAAUCAUUAAGUGCGCCGCCUGGGGAGUACGGUCGCAAGGCUAAAACUCAAAGGAAUUGACGGGGGCUCACACAAGCGGUGGAGCAUGUGGCUUAAUUCGAAGCAACGCGAAGAACCUUACCUGGGUUUAACAUGCAUGGAUUAGUUCUUGGAAACAGGAAUGACGCCCUCUGGGUGGAACAUGCACAGGUGCUGCAUGGCUGUCGUCAGCUCGUGCUGUGAAGUGUCGGGUUAGGUCCCUUAACGAGCGCAACCCCUGUCGUCAGUUGCUCACGCGUAAUGGCGAGGACUCUGGCGAGACUGCCGGUGUCAAACCGGAGGAAGGUGGGGAUGACGUCAAGUCCGCAUGGCCCUUAUGUCCAGGGUUGCACACGUGCUACAAUGGCGCGCACAAAGCGAAGCAAGGCCGCAAGGCGGAGCAAAUCGCAAAAAACC
rnacentral:rRNA from 1 species